rnacentral:rRNA from 1 species
CCUACGGGGGGCAGCAGUGGGGGAUAUUGCACAAUGGGGGAAACCCUGAUGCAGCGACGCCGCGUGAGUGAAGAAGUAUUUCGGUACGUAAAGCUCUAUCAGCAGGGAAGAAUAAUGACGGUACCUGACUAAGAAGCCCCGGCUAACUACGUGCCAGCAGCCGCGGUAAUACGUAGGGGGCAAGCGUUAUCCGGAUUUACUGGGUGUAAAGGGAGCGUAGACGGCUGUGCAAGUCUGAAGUGAAAUGCCGGGGCUCAACCCCGGAACUGCUUUGGAAACUGUACAGCUAGAGUGCAGGAGGGGUG